rnacentral:rRNA from 1 species
UACGAGGGGGGCAAAUGUUGUUCGGAAUCACUGGGCGUAAAGGGAGCGUAGGCGGGUUUUUAAGUCAGGUGUUUAAUCCCGGGGCCCAACCCCGGACAGGCACUUGAAACUGGGAAUCUUGAAUAGUGGAGAGGUCAGUGGAAUUGGGGGUGUAGCGGUGGAAUGCGUAGAGAUCCCCAAGAACACCCGUUGCGAAGGCGGCUGACUGGACACAUAUUGACGCUGAGGCUCGAAAGCGUGGGGAGCGAACCGG